CCUACGGGCGGCAGCAGUGAGGAAUAUUGAUCAAUGGACGAGAGUCUGAACCAGCCAAGUAGCGUGAAGGAUGACUGCCCUAUGGGUUGUAAACUUCUUUUAUAUGGGAAUAAAAUGUUCCACGUGUGGGAUUUUGUAUGUACCAUAUGAAUAAGGAUCGGCUAACUCCGUGCCAGCAGCCGCGGUAAUACGGAGGAUCCGAGCGUUAUCCGGAUUUAUUGGGUUUAAAGGGAGCGUAGGUGGAUUGUUAAGUCAGUUGUGAAAGUUUGCGGCUCAACCGUAAAAUUGCAGUUGAAACUGGCAGUCUUGAGUACAGUAGAGGUGGGCGGAAUUCGUGGUGUAGCGGUGAAAUGCUUAGAUAUCACGAAGAACUCCGAUUGCGAAGGCAGUUCACUGGACUGCAACUGACACUGAGGCUCGAAAGUGUGGGUAUCAAACAGGAUUAGAUACCCCUGUAGUC
rnacentral:rRNA from 1 species